rnacentral:rRNA from 1 species
UACGUAGGGUGCAAGCGUUGUCCGGAAUUAUUGGGCGUAAAGAGCUACGUAGGCGGUCUGUCGCGUCGGCUGUGAAAACCCGGGGCUCAACCCCGGGCCUGCAGUCGAUACGGGCAGACUAGAGUGCGGUAGGGGAGACUGGAAUUCCUGGUGUAGCGGUGAAAUGCGCAGAUAUCAGGAGGAACACCGGUGGCGAAGGCGGGUCUCUGGGCCGUAACUGACGCUGAGGAGCGAAAGCUAGGGUAGCAAACGGG